UACGGGGGGGGCAAGCGUUGUUCGGAAUUACUGGGCGUAAAGGGCUCGUAGGUGGCCAACUAAGUCAGACGUGAAAUCCCUCAGCUUAACUGGGGGAACUGCGUCUGAUACUGGAUGGCUUGAGUUUGGGAGAGGGAUGCGGAAUUCCAGGUGUAGCGGUGGAAUGCGCAGAUAUCAGGAGGAACACCGGUGGCGAAGGCGGAUCUCUGGGCCAUAACUGACGCUGAGGAGCGAAAAGCAUGGGGGAGCGAACAGG
rnacentral:rRNA from 1 species